rnacentral:rRNA from 1 species
UCGGUUAGUCGGCACGAGCGCACCUCAUCUUCAGUUACUAACAGGUUAUGCUGAGGACUUUGGAGAAACUGCCGUUGGAAAAGCGGAGGAAGGCGAGGAUGACGUCAAGUCCUCAUGGCCCUUAUGGGCUGGGCUACACACGUGCUACAAUGGUAAUUACAAUAGGUCGCGAAAAGGCAACUUUGAGCUAAUCUUCAAAAAUUAUCUUAGUUCAGAUUGUUCUCUGCAACUCGAGAGCAUGAAGUUGGAAUUGCUAGUAAUCGUGGAUCAGCAUGCCACGGUGAAUACGUUCCCGGGUCUUGUACACACCGCCCGUCACACCAUGGGAGUUGGUUUUACCUGAAGCCGAUUUUUAAAUCGUCCACGGUAAGGUCAGCGACUGGGGUGAAGUCGUAACAAGGUAGCCGUAGGGGAACCUGCGGCUGGAACACCUCCUUUCU